rnacentral:rRNA from 1 species
AUUGAACGCUGGCGGCAGGCCUAACACAUGCAAGUCGAACGGUAGCACAGAAGAGCUUGCUCCUUGGGUGACGAGUGGCGGACGGGUGAGUACUGUCUGGGAAACUGCCCGAUGGAGGGGGAUAACUACUGGAAACGGUAGCUAAUACCGCAUAACGUCUUCGGACCAAAGUGGGGGACCUUCGGGCCUCACACCAUCGGAUGUGCCCAGAUGGGAUUAGCUAGUAGGUGGGGUAAUGGCUCACCUAGGCGACGAUCCCUAGCUGGUCUGAGAGGAUGACCGGCCACACUGGAACUGAGACACGGUCCAGACUCCUACGGGAGGCAGCAGUGGGGAAUAUUGCACAAUGGGCGCAAGCCUGAUGCAGCCAUGCCGCGUGUAUGAAGAAGGCCUUCGGGUUGUAAAGUACUUUCAGCGGGGAGGAAGGCGAUGUGGUUAAUAACCGCAUCGAUUGACGUUACCCGCAGAAGAAGCACCGGCUAACUCCGUGCCAGCCGCCGCCGUAA